CCGGGUUGGAUUUCGAUGGGGAGGGGACUGGGAGCCCGGCCCGAGGGUGGGUCCGGGACCGUAGGAUCCUUUUGGAUCGCACCUGAAGUUCUCACCGGCGGUUGCCAGAGGCUGCUGGAGACUUGAGUUUUGAGUUUUUCUUCUUUUUAUAUGCCACGCGCUGCUGGUGGGGGGAGGGUCGCGGUUGGAGUGGGGUUAGAGGUGUCACAACCAAGCCACAGAUCGGGAGAAGGAAGGAUUUAUUACUUGCAGCAACUUUCUUGCCGGUCAGACGGGCUUCUCUUCUUCCGGAGUCUUCAGGAACCUCCCCUAUCCAGCCCACCUGUUUGUGGCCUGGCCUCCUCGGAGCCCACCUGUUUGUGGCCUGGCCUCCUCGGAGCACCGUGAGGCCCAGCUUGCAGGAUCUCGGUUCCCCAACCAGGGAUUGAACCUGGGCCACAGCAGUGAAAGCCCAGAAUCCUAACCACUGGACCACCAGGGAGCUCCCUGAGGAAAUGUUUUAAAGUUGAUCGUGGUGAUGGUGCAUAACUCUGAAAAGGCUAAAAACCAUUGAACUGUACAAUUUUAAUGGGCGAAUGUGUGGUAUGUGAAUUAUAUAUCAAUAAA